CCUGCAUCAUGUGCAGCAGCUGCAGGGCCUUGGACAUCAUCAUAGGACUGCCCAUCUGUGACAAUUACUAGGAAGUUCUUGUUGGGGCUCUCCCUUAUAGGGCCAAACACAUUUCUAACAGUGAAGGAAAUGGCAUCACCAGUAGCUGUUCCACCACUCAUAUAGCGGAUGUUUCUGAUGACAGCUAGGACAUUCUCUUUGGUGCUAUAGUCAGUGAAACUGAACUCCGUGCGCUGAUCAUAAGUAAACUGUACAGCAGCUAUCUUGGCACCAAUGUCCGAGAUUUCAAAAGUCUUGGCUAUGUUGGAAACAAAUUCAAGCAUGAGGCGGAAAUUGCUAUCUCCAACACUGCUGGAGCCAUCAAUUAGAAAGGCAAUGUUCACUGAGUUAUAACAGGUCUUGCUGCACAUCAUUUGUUCAUGAGUGCACAGCUUCUGUACCAGAGGCUUUACGUAUUUUGUGGUGCCAAACCAGUUGGGCAUGUGGUAAGAGAAGAAGCCAUUAUUCCGACAGACAGCCUAAUGGGGGAGACACAUAAAAGAUAUCCAAAAGGAUCAAAAGUUGUUUCUUCUUAAAAACUGGAAAAUCCUGAAUGUUUCAAGUUAAUCUAGAUAAGAGGCAGUCAGCACUGCACUUAGAGGUCCAAAAUGGAAUACCCAUCACUGUAACAGAAGAUAACCCUCACCACUUUACCUUGUCAACAAAUGUGACAUCCUGAACCAUCCCCAGUUCUUCAGGGAUAGGCUUGGCCACAGAAACUAUAAAUACAUUGACACCAAACUCUCUGGCCACAAUGCCUGCUUCCUCGAUGUCAUCAGAAGGCCAACCAUCAAUAAAUACCACCACCACUUUGGGGAUCCCUUUUCUUACUCCAGCAUCUACCGUGAAGAAUUUCUGAGCAGUAUCAAAGUCUACUUACCUGUAUUGGAAUUACCCCCUCUGAAACCUACUUCCUUUAUGGCAAACAAAACAUCUUUGGCUGAUGUAAAGUUUUUCAAGUAAAAUUCUAUUUUGGGAUGUUCACUGAGUGGAAGAAAGAAAAUGUUAUUCAGGGAGAAUUAAAAAGGUAAAAUAAGCAACAUUACAUGCCUUAAAAAACAGUUUUAAAACCAGACAACACACAAGUUUCUUUCUUAAUUCCAUAGUACAUAGUCAACUGAGGCAUUGCAUCCUUACUUGAAUUAUUGGAGAUAUUUCAGAGGUGUAACAAAUAAUUGCCAUAUUGAGGAUUUAUUAUAUUCUGGGUAAUAAGCCAAAAGCAUAACACAUGUAAAACCUCAUUUCAUCAUAGCUCUAUAAGGUUGGAAUUAUCCCAAUUAUGUAAAUGAAGAAACUGAGUCUCAGAGCAUUUAGGGAGUUUGCCUGAUGAAACACAGCUGCAUUUUAAGUUCAAGUUGUCUGGCUGCAAAGUCCAUGCCUAAACUAUACGGAGAACUUGAAAUCGGGCUUGGCUCAGAGCCUCGGGUUUAACAGAAGUCCGCAGAGUUGGGCACCAGGUAGCUAAACUAAAUGAGGAAGUGGCUGGGUAUGAGACUAGGGUCUGUUCCAGUGUGGGACCCCAGAGGCUCUAAGUAGUGUGGAUCUAUUAACUCAGAGCUCUCUGUUCAGGAGAAACAAUUUCAUUGAUGUGACCGUCAACAUUUUUUUAAAGGGACAAAGGUGAAAUGAAUUAUAAAGUUACAAUAUUGAGUUUUUCUUAUAAUGACAAUGACAUUUGUGCACCUUAAAAUUAUGUGUAUUGUAAGAGUUUUGAGAUCUCAUUUCCUAUAUUUAAUAUUAAAGGAAUUUCAGCUCACUUUUAUAUAACUACUCUGUGUUCAGCAGAGACCGUUUUGAGUAUAAACAACCACAGCACAAUCUGUUGUGUUUAGUUUCUAGAUGAGUCAGUAUUUCCUAGUGCAAAAUUUAAGAUCUUAGCAUUAUCAGUAGCCAUUUUAUUCAAGAUUUUUUGAGGGAGAAGUAGAACACUGACUGUAUUUCUGCAUACAUACCUGAUGGAAUAUUGGGUCAUAAAAUCAGAUUUCAUGGGUUGAAAACCUUUUCACUUGUGGUCACUUUUCAACUAUCCAGAUUAUGACUUAUGAAAUUAGUCUCAUUUUUGUAUCCUUGAUAUAUUCUGUUCUUUGACUUACAUACAUAUAAACUUGACAUGGUUUACCUAUUCUAAUGGUCUUUCUAAAACAGAAAAACUACAAAACUUUGUAUGAGUCUACAAGGUAAUGAAGAAUUCAUCUUCAAAAAGAAUUGGGUCAAAGUAGUCAGAAAAAAGUACAAGACAAAAAGUACUGCAGGGGAAUUUGCCUCAUGGGAUGUUAAAAUGUGCAAUAAAACUGUGAUAAUCAAAGCAGCGUAGAAAAAAAUAUGUAAGGAUUAGCAUAUGAAUCAAAGAAAUAGACUUGCUCAAACUCAGGUAUAAAUGUGAUACCAUAAGUCAAUGAAACAAGGAACACAUUUUUUUUAAGGGUGAGAGACAAAUGGUUAAAUUAUGUUAAAACAGUUAAAUUUUCUUCUCAUGCCAAAAAAAUUCUAUCUAAUCUAAGAGCAGAGCCACUUGUAAAAAAUAACAGAAAUGAAAUGGAAAUUAAUAUUUGUAAUAGCACUGUUUAUACAACCUUACACACUGCUGAUAGUAGUUUAAACUACUUCACCUUUCUAGGAAGCAAUUUCGCUAUUUAUUUGUUUUUUUAGAGAUGGGGUCUUUCUCUGUUGUCCAGGCUGGAGUAGAGUGGUGCCAUCAUAGCUCACUGCAGCUUUGAACUCCUGGGCUUGAGAGAUCCUCACACCUCAGCCUCCUGAGCAGCUGGCACUACAGGCAUGAGCCACUGUGCAUGGCUCAAUUUCACUAUUUAUAUCAGAGGCUUUAAGUCAGAACCUCACUUUUAGAAAUCUAACCUGAUGAAAUAAUCAGAGAUGGGCACAAAGAUGAUAUAAGGAUGUUCAUCACAGUGUAGUGUGUAAUGUAGUGAAGAAAUAAUAAGAAUGACUAAUCAUGCAGCGGAAUAUUAUGAAAUAUUUUUGAUGAAUAUUUGUGAUAUGAGAAAAUGCUAAAAAUACUAAAGGAUGAAAAAAACAGGAUGCAGGGCAUUUUUAAUAGUCUGAGUUUUUAAAAAAUAAUACAGUCAAAUAUUUCCUUAAAAUACUGAAGGGGCCAGGCGUGGUAGCUCACACCUGUAAUCCUAGCACUUUGGGAGUCCGAGGCAGGUGGAUCACCUGAGGUCAGGAGCUCGAGACCAGGCUGGCCAACAUGGUGAAACCUUGUCUCUACUAAAAAUACAAAAAUUAGCCAGGCGUAGUAGUGCACACCUGUGAUCCCAGCUACUCAGGAGGCUGAGGCAGGAGAAUCACUUAAAUCCAGGAGGCAGAGGUUGUAGUGAACAAAGAUCGUGCCAUUGCAUUCCAGCCUCGGUGACAGAGCAAAACUCCGUCUCAAAAAAAAAAAAAAAAAAAAAAAAAAACCAUUUUAUAGUGAUUAUCUCUAGGGCAUAUGAUUUAGAGCAUUUCUUUUUUUGUGCUCUAUGUAUUUUCAAGCUUUCUAUAAUGAGCAUAUUCUAUUUCUAAAAGCAAUUAAUAAAUAAAUAUUUAUUUAUUUAUUUAUUUUUAUUUUUAUUUUUUGAAACAGAGUCUUGCUCUGUUGCCCAGGCUGGAGUGCAGUGGCACGAUCUUGGCUCACUGCAAGCUCCACCUCCUGGGUUCACGCCAUUCUCCUGCCUCAGCCUCCCGAGUAGCUGGGACUACAGGCGCCUGCCACCACGCCCGGCUAAUUUUUUUUUUUUGUAUUUUUAGUAGAGACGGGGUUUCCCCGUGUUAGCCAGGAUGGUCUCAAUCUCCUGACCCCGUGAUCCAUCCGCCUCGGCCUCCCAAAGUGCUGGGAUUACAGGCGUGAGCCACCGCACCUGGCCAGCAAUUAAUAAAUAUUUUUAAAUGAAUAAAAUAGAAAGGUCGUGCUUCAGAUCACCAACCAAGAGAAUAUGGAAAGAGCUAAAAAGAAUAACAGAAUAGGGAGGUGGAAUAGACAUAUCACUGCUUCUUCCUUCAGAAGAGAGAAAUUAGGAAUUGAGCAGAGUAGAUAAGCAGAGGUGACUUGUGUAAGCAACAGGACUCUCCAGUCUACCUUCUGGUUCUUAUAUAGAUAGCACACAGUUUUCUAAAUUCUUUUAUUCCAAAAAGGAGGCACUCAGAUCUACUCAGUCUGCCCAGGCAGUCUUAGAUCCUGAACUUACAGUUUGGGAACCCAGUGUGUCCAUAACUCAAAUGUUUAUACUGAACUGACAUGUACCCACUAAAAGAACUGAUCAUUUGUCAUCAUUCAAGACUCAUUCAAAUCUCCUCUCAUUUGAUUUUUUUCUUUUUUUUUUUUUUUUUUGAGACAUAGUCUCACUGUUGCCCAGGCUGGAGUGCAGUGGUGCAAUCUCGGCUCAUUGUAACCUCUGCCUCCCGAGUCCAAGUGAUUCUCCUGCCUCAGCCUCCCAAGUAGCUAGGAUUACAGGUGCAUGCCACCACAUCUGGCUAAUUUUUGUAUUUUUAGUAGAGACGGUGUUUCACAUGUUGGCCAGACUGGUCUCGAACUCCUGACCUCAAGUGGUCCAUCCGCCUCAGCCUCCCAAAGUGGUGGGAUUACAGGUGUGAGCCACCACUCCCAGCUGCUGCUAGCCUUUUAAAAACUUGCUUACACAAGAACAAAAUUUGCCUGGAAAAAAAUGGUUUUGUGCUGUUGAACUUCUUAAGUGUUGAUAAGAACACAUUUGUAAUAUCCCAUUACCCACAACUUAGAAAUUCAGAGCACCAAACAAUUUUCCUAAGAUACUCACUUUAGCUACAUGCCUUUGGACUGAAUUUUUUUAGAAGUAUUAUACUGGCUAUUCUACUACAGGAUAGCAUGGCACUUGCUAACAAUAGUCACCUUGGGCAAGAUACUUGACAACUCUCUGAGUUCAGUUUCUUCAUCUGUAACUGGAGUAAAAUUCUACCUACCUUGUAGAGUUGUGGUGGAAGUUAAAACAAUAGGUGGCACAUAGUAAUAACUCAGUAAUAUAUCACAUGAUUAGGAAUGUUUUGGAAUCAUAGCAAUCUAGCCAUCAAGAGGUAAUGCUAUUUGCCUUUUGUCAGAAAGCUUUCCAUGUGUAUUUGGUGUUUCAAGUAUAUCCAGGAGAACCGUGAAAAUAUAUCCAUUUUCUGUGGCCACAAUGGCAACAAAAGAAAGAAUGCAGGGAGGAAAGGGAUCCAGAUGGGUAAAGCAGGAAAGGAAAUAAUCACGUCUGCAUUUCUCUCCCACCCUGGUGUGUUUGGGCUUA
rnacentral:lncRNA from 1 species